rnacentral:rRNA from 1 species
GACCUCAAAUCAGGUAAGAAUACCCGCUGAACUUAAGCAUAUCAAUAAGCGGAGGAAAAGAAAAUAACAAUGAUUCCCUCAGUAACGGCGAGCGAAGAGGGAUAAGCUCAAAUUUUAAAUCUGUUGGGUUUCACCUAACAGAGUUGUAUUUUGAAGAAACGUUUUCUGCGUCCAGGAUUAGCCUAAAUCCUUUGGGAUAAGGUAUCAUGGAGGGUGAGAAUCCCGUUCAUGGUUAAUCUUAAGGAUGCUCUACGAUACGUUCUCCAAGAGUCGAGUUGUUUGGGAUUGCAGCUCAAAAUGGGAGGUAAAUUUCUCCUAAGGCUAAAUAUUGGCGAGAGACCGAUAGCGAACAAGUACCGUGAGGGAAAGAUGAAAAGAACUUUGAAAAGAGAGUUAAACAGUACGUGAAAUUGUUGAAAGGGAAACGAUUGAAGUCAGUCAUACCAACGGGAAAUCAACCUUUUGAGUUUGGUCUCGUGGGUUUUGAAGAGUUUUUAAAAGCCUUCGGAUUUUCGAGAUUGGGUUCUUCUGGUGUACUUUCUCGUACGGUUAGUCAACAUCGGUUUUGAAUGUCAUAAAAUGACUGGAGGAAUGUGGCUUCGAUCUCGUAUUGAAGUGUUAUAGCCUUUGGUAGAUGUGAUGUUCGAGACCGAGGAUUGCAACGGAUACCCUUCUGGGCUAUUCGUCUGAUCUCUGAAACGUUGCCUUGAUGUCGAAAGCUUGCUUAUGAUGUUAGGGUAUUACGGUCAAAAGGUUAGAACGGAUUAAAUUCGUUAAGGAUGUUGACGUAAUGACUUUAAACGACCCGUCUUGAAACACGGACCAAGGAGUCUAACAUAUAUGCGAGUGUUUGGGUGAAUAAACCCUUGCGCGUAAUGAAAGUGAUUUUGGUGAGAUCCGGAUUAAUUUUUUUUUCGGAGCAUCAUCGACCGAUCAGGAUAUUU